GACUUGUUCGUUUGGAUCGGAAUACUAUUUUCAAGCAUUUCGCACGUUAUGGAAUAUAUCUAGGGAUAUUAACGACGUAAGAAAAUCUUAUCUUCUCCCAUUCAAUCACCACUGGCACCUCGCCUUAUAUAUUCAAUGAUUCAGAGGAGAUUCUUUGGGAUGGGAAAGAGCGGAAUACAUACAGUUUUGCAAGUUAAACAAUCGAAGAGGAGUGCAUUUUAGUUUAUUGGCAGCUUACCUGCCAGGCGCUCAAAACAUCGAGGCAGAUGCAGAGAGCAGAACAUACCAUGACAAUGGGACAGGUCAGUAUCGGUCAUUCAUCACCCUCUCUUGAAUGCCCAAGAUCAGGCUUGCAGCAGCACUUGUUUCUGGCAGACGCCAGGCACAGCAGAACUUUCAGAGACAGCUCAGCGGAUUAUCGAGGCCUCAUGGCGUGAUGGCACCAAAAAACAGCAUAACUGUUACUUCAAACAGUGGUUUUCCUUUUGUAGCCGGAGGGAUUGGAAUACCUUUCAUGCCUCUGUAAAAUCUGCUGCAGAAUUUCUCACUGAGCUGUCAGAGAGGGGUUUGCGGUAUUCUGCACUUAACACUGCCAGAAGCACCUUAUCAGCUUUUCUUACCAUCGGGGAUUCACCUUUGGGAGAACACCCGCUGAUUUGCAGAUUCAUGAAAGGUGACCUUUUCCAUACAGUGUGGUGGCUUCUUGGUGAACCAACACUUCCUGUCUGGUCCUGGCUAGUUCCUAAAGAAAAAGCAGGCAGUGAAACACAGCAGCAAGACCAAUGCUAUGUCUCAUCCAUGUGUACAAGAGCUGCUGAGAUGAAAGUGUCUUUUCUGGAUUAUCAUCACACUGAGGACAGCAAAACUCAUCAUCAUAUCAAGAUCUACAACAUUGCAGCCUCACCACUGCAGAGAUGAAGGUAUGUCUCCUGGAGUAUCAUCCAACUGAGUACAGUUAAUUUAUAAACUCAUCAUCAACAGCAAGAUCUACAACCUUGCAGCCUCAGCACAGCAGAUGGAAGGUAUGUCUCCCAGAAUAUCAUCAUACUGAGGGCAGCUAAUUUAUGAACGCAUCAUCGCCAGCAAGCUCUACAACCUUGCAGCCUCA